AAAAACAUCCUAAGGAAGACCUAGGGCGAUGACUAGAAGCGUCCUUUAGGAGACGUAGCCCGCAAAGCAGCGUACUAAGGAAAACGCAGGGUGUGCCAGAAAUUUCUUAAAAGGAGAUUACCAUGCUUCCUGCGAGAAGUAUCCAGGUUGCUAUUUGUUUCCUAAGGGGGGUUAGGAUAGUUAAACAGUUGCCCAUAAAAAGAGUCCUAAGGGAGAGACGCAAGACGACGACCAGAAACAUCCUUCGGGAGAUGCAUCCCACAAAGCAGCGUCCUAAAGGAGCCGCAAGGUGCG
rnacentral:lncRNA from 1 species